CCCUUAGACGUUCUGGGCCGCACGCGCGCUACACUGACGGAGCCAGCGAGUAUAAACCUUGGCCGAGAGGUCUGGGAAAUCUUGCGAAACUCCGUCGUGCUGGGGAUAGAGCAUUGUAAUUAUUGCUCUUCAACGAGGAAUUCCUAGUAAGCGCAAGUCAUCAGCUUGCGUUGAUUACGUCCCUGCCCUUUGUACACACCGCCCGUCGCUACUACCGAUUGAAUGGCUUAGUGAGGCUUCCGGAUUGGUUUAGAGAAGGGGGCAACUCCAUCUUGGAACCGAGAAGCUAGUCAAACUUGGUCAUUUAGAGGAAGUAAAAGUCGUAACA
rnacentral:rRNA from 1 species